rnacentral:rRNA from 1 species
UGGGGGAUAUUGCACAAUGGGCGAAAGCCUGAUGCAGCGACGCCGCGUGGGGGAUGAAGGCUUUCGGGUUGUAAACCUCUUUCGCUAUCGAACAAGGCCCGCUUAGGGUGGGUUGAGGGUAGGUGGAGAAGAAGCGCCGGCUAACUACGUGCCAGCAGCCGCGGUAAUACGUAGGGCGCGAGCGUUGUCCGGAAUUAUUGGGCGUAAAGGGCUUGUAGGCGGCUUGUUGCGCCUGCUGUGAAAACGCGGGGCUUAACUUCGCGCGUGCAGUGGGUACGGGCAGGCGUGAGUGUGGUAGGGGUGACUGGAAUUCCAGGUGUAGCGGUGGAAUGCGCAGAUAUCUGGAGGAGCACCGAUGGAGAAGGCAGGUCACUGGGCCAUUACUGACGCUGAGGAGCGAAAGCAUGGGUAGCGAACAGG